rnacentral:lncRNA from 1 species
ACAAAACCCGGAAGGACCCCGCCGAAGGUUUUCUCCGGUUCGGGAGAGAGACGGAGUCCCGCUCUGUCACGCAGGCUGCCAGGCUGGCGUACAGUGGCGCAAUCUCAGCUCGCUGCAACCUCCACCUCCUGGGUUCAAGCGAUUUUCUUGCCUCUGCCUCCUGAGUAGCUGGGAUUACUGGCACACACCACCAUGCACAGUUCCUUGUUCAAAAUGCCAAGAACCUGGAUGACUCAUAGUCAAGACCCUCCACCAGUAACAUAUAUUGGCGAGCCAGCCAGGAGACCACUACAGGAAACACUCCAUUUAUUCCACCUGACUUCCCACUUGGCUGCAUCCUCAACCAUUGAAAUGAAUUUGACCCUGAUAAUCUAAGGAGGAAACAUUUGAUAUUCUUUUGCAAUAAUACUUGGCCCCAGUAUUGUUUGGAAUCUGGAGUUUGCUGUUGAAUGGGAAAGCAGGAUGACGUUGCAUGUAUCCAGGCUUUGGUGCUGCUGUCCUAAGAAGGGUCAGGCCUAGUCAGCAUAUGGUGCUCUCCUUUGGUGCUAUUUGGCUCCAGUGUCUUUGGAGUCUGAGGAGGUUUGGCCUUUAAAAAUCAAACUGCCACCGGAACUGCUUUAAAAAUGUUUGGUUCACAGCCUUCACUGGAUUACCUAUUGGAGCAAACAAAGUGUAACCAUGUAAAACCUGUGAGCUUGUAUUGAUAUCUCAUGGCUAGAGUUCCAAGGUAAAAGCUAUUGGAUCUUCGUUUGUGUGUGUGUAUACAUGUCUAGAUGUGUUUAUUUGUAUGU